AUUGAACGCUGGCGGCAUGCCUUACACAUGCAAGUCGAACGGUAACAGGUCUUCGGAUGCUGACGAGUGGCGAACGGGUGAGUAAUACAUCGGAACGUGCCUAGUAGUGGGGGAUAACUACUCGAAAGAGUGGCUAAUACCGCAUGAGAUCUACGGAUGAAAGCAGGGGAUCGCAAGACCUUGUGCUACUAGAGCGGCCGAUGGCAGAUUAGGUAGUUGGUGGGAUAAAAGCUUACCAAGCCGACGAUCUGUAGCUGUCUGAGAGGACGAUCAGCCACACUGGGACUGAGACACGGCCCAGACUCCUACGGGAGGCAGUAGUGGGGAAUUUUGGACAAUGGGCGAAAGCCUGAUCCAGCAAUGCCGCGUGCAGGAUGAAGGCCUUCGGGUUGUAAACUGCUUUUGUACGGAACGAAAAGCCCCGGGUUAAUACCCUGGGGUCAUGACGGUACCGUAAGAGUAAGCACCGGCUAACUACGUGCCAGCCGCCGCGGUAA
rnacentral:rRNA from 1 species